GCAGGGUAAAGCAGUAUGGUAGCUCCCAAGGCUCAUAACCUUGAGGUCAUGGGUUCAAAUCCUGUCUUCGCA
rnacentral:tRNA from 1 species